UAUUUUGGAUUUAAAACCACAUUUUUAGCACAUUUUUUAAAGUAAAAAAACAGUAAAAAAGUUGGAAAAAAAAAUAAAACGCUUUUGCUGAGAUUCAAACCAGUGACACACAAAUUAAUUUCAAGGGGACUCACCACUACGCCAUUAACUUCUCUUUGUUAUUAAGGGAGUUCAAAAUAUAUAUAUCUACAAAAGUACAAAAAAUUUACUUUAUAUAUAUCGUAUAAUUUUUUACCGAAAGGGUUCGGAUGAACCCAAAACCACGUGGAUCCGCCAGUAUAUACUAUUACUUUCUUGAAAUUGUGUUUUGUUCACACAUUUAUAGGUUUAUCUUUAAAUUGUACUAAAUAAAAAAUCCCAACUUUUUAGUUUCACUAUAUGGAAAAGGCCAAAGUCAUAUGCGGCCACUCAAACUUGUCCCGAUUAUUCACUUAGACACCUCAACUAGACGUACUACCUAUUGAACACCUCAACUAUCCAAAUUUGAACCGUAAAAACAUUUUUUGCCUACAUGGCAAAUCGUUUGUGAUUCACGCAAAUGGAGCGCGUGAAUUUAUUUUUUCCUCAUUUUUUACCCUGCCUACAUGGCACCAACGUUAACAUUAUACUUCAAUGUUAAAGUUGAAGUGAAAUCCCAAUUCUCUUCCCCAAAAUCCUCUUCCCCAAUUUCUCUUCCCCAAAAUCCAUUUAGAACCCUAAAUCUCCAAUUCUCUCUUCUACUUCUAAAUCUCCAAGUUUGUCUCUUCUUCUCUAAAUAUCCAAGUUUCUCUCUUCUUCUCUAAAUCAAUUCUCUUUUAUCAAAUGUCGUAAAUUUCAGUAAAUAUCGAUGAAGUUGAUAUAUGCAAGUGUGGUUAUUAUUGUCGACUGAAAACUUCGAGGACUCCUUUGAACCCAGGUCGUCGAUUUUUUUGAUGCAAAUCAUCAAAGGAAAAUGGUGGAUGUGGAUAUUUUAGAUGGAUUGAUCCGUCGCUUGAAAAUGUUGAUGAAUCAUCCUCAAUGAAUAGACUCAUAGACGGUCAAAAUCCGAUUGAUCGACUAAAGAGAAAAGUGAAAGAGCUUGAAGAAGAAAAAGAUUCUUUGAAAUUUCAAUUGAAUGAAAGUGAAGUGAAAGUGAUGGUAUUGAACAAGAAGCUUAAGGAAGUUAAACUCCAAAGGGAUUGGGAAAAUGUCAAAUUUAACCGAGUUGUGAUUGUUUUUCUUUGUCUACUAACUAUCAAAUGGUUCUUUAAUAUUUUGUAGUUGAUAGUAGUUCAGGAUUGUAGUACUUAAUUGUUUAGUUUUGCAGUAGUUAGGUAGCUAUUUUAGAUCAAUUAGUGAUGUUUUAAUUGGUAUAUGUCCUUCAUAUUUUGUAUCAAAUUGGAAGUUUGAGUUGAAUUGAUCUCUGUUGAAUUGAUCA